GGAGUCUACCUAUUAUGCGAGUGUGAGGGUGUAAAAACCUGAACGCGUACCGAAAGGGAGUAUAAGAUGUGAGAUGUCAAAGUUGCAACAUCGACCAUUCCUGAACCUCCGGUGAAGGAUAUGAGUAAGAGCAUAAUCGGUAGGACCCGAAAGAUGGUGAACUACACUUGAGUAGGGUGAAGCCAGGGGAAACUCUGGUGGAGGCUCGUAGCGUUACUGACGUGCAAAUCGUUCGUCAAACUUGCGUGUAGGGGCGAAAGACUAAUCGAACCAUCUAGUAGCUGGUUCCCUCUGAAAUUUCUCUCAGGAAAGCUGGAACAGUUAAUGCAGUUUUAUCAGGUAAAGCUAAUGAUUAGAGGAAUCGGAGUCCUGUGGGCUUUGACCUCUUCUCAAACUUAAUUGGUAAGAACUCCGAGUUAUCUUAAUUG
rnacentral:rRNA from 1 species